GACGUAGGGCGCGAGCGUUGUCCGGAUUUAUUGGGCGUAAAGAGCUCGUAGGCGGCCUGUUGCGUCCGCUGUGAAAUCCCGGGGCUCAACCCCGGACUUGCAGUGGGUACGGGCAGACUAGAGUGUGGUAGGGGAGACUGGAAUUCCUGGUGUAGCGGUGAAAUGCGCAGAUAUCAGGAGGAACACCGAUGGCGAAGGCAGGUCUCUGGGCCACUACUGACGCUGAGAAGCGAAAGCAUGGGGAGCGAACAGG
rnacentral:rRNA from 1 species